rnacentral:lncRNA from 1 species
AUGCGAUCCGUUGGGCAGCCAGAAAGGAGGGAGGGCCAGGUGACGCAGAGGGGAGGCUCUGCGGCGUGCAGGGUGCAGGGGCCUGUCCGGGGUAGCUGGUCGCCCGCGGGCCGGGAAGAUCGGGGUGGGGGGGGGGCGAGCUCCCGCGUCUGCGGGGUGCGGGAAGGGGGCCUCACCCGGACAAAGGCGGUCCCCGGGCGGCUGCCAGCGCGCGCUGCCCCCUGGUGGCGAGUCGCUCCUCUGCAGCCAGCAAGCGAGCCGUCCCUUUGUUUUCCUGCUGCAGCUCCUGCCAGGGUUUGCUGGGAAUUCUGGAAGGGCCUGCCAAUCCUCUGCAUCCUAUGGUGGAAGGAGAAGUGAGCACAGAGGGCACCCUGGUUUCUCAGAGGUUCAUCCUAACAACGCCAGACAUUUCACCGGUGAGAACCAGGCAUGGGGCCACCAGUGGGUGCAAGGCAGGCUGGGUAAUGUAGUCCCAGGCUGGUCAGCUGUCUCCCCAGAAAGGAGGGCACAUGUACCACUCCACAGGGGGAAGGCGG